CCAGGGCUUCUUGUGCCAAAGUUCAGG
rnacentral:piRNA from 1 species